CUAGAGCAUCCUUGUGUGUGUGUGUGUGUGUGUAUGUGUGUGUGGGGGGGUGCACAUGCCACGUCUCCCUCUAGUGGCCGCGGGCAGGACAACAAUCUACUACUGCUGCCAGCUACUGAAUUGCUUCUUUAGCUCUAGCUACAGAGCCUGCGAGGCAUUGUAUGGAUUAAAAUCUCCCCCACUGGCUCUCCUGGAAUCCCUGCUCCCGCGAGCUCUCCCUAUGGAAGGGGAAAGUCUUCUUGUAGCUGGAGCAGCUCCUGGCUUCCUUCGGGAGGAUGGUCUGGAGCCAGACGAAGACAGGACUUCGCUUAGCGUGCAGGGGCACUGACUCCAUUUCGCAGUGUUGAGCAGUUACAGAUGCCCUGCUGGAAAGCGCUAUGCAAGUGCAAAGAAGUAUUAUGCUGGAUU